rnacentral:misc_RNA from 1 species
GCGGAAGGAUCAUUACCGAGUGAGGGCCCUCUGGGUCCAACCUCCCACCCGUGUUUAUUUUACCUUGUUGCUUCGGCGGGCCCGCCUUAACUGGCCGCCGGGGGGCUUACGCCCCCGGGCCCGCGCCCGCCGAAGACACCCUCGAACUCUGUCUGAAGAUUGUAGUCUGAGUGAAAAUAUAAAUUAUUUAAAACUUCCAACAACGGAUCUCUUGGUUCCGGCA